UACGGGGGGGGCAAGCGUUGUUCGGAAUUACUGGGCGUAAAGGGCUCGUAGGCGGCCAACUAAGUCGGAUGUGAAAUCCCCAGGCUCAACCUGGGAACUGCAUCCGAUACUGGAUGGCUUGAAUCCGGGAGAGGGAUGCAGAAUUCCAGGUGUAGCGGUGAAAUGCGUAGAUAUCUGGAGGAAUACCGGUGGGCGAAGGCGGCAUCCUGGACCGGCAUUGACGCUGAGGAGCGAAAGCUAGGGGAGCAAACGGG
rnacentral:rRNA from 1 species